CGGGGCGGGAGGCCGGCGAGUCACCCACGACCACACUCAGGGUCAAAACGCAAUUCUGAAAGAGCAAGAAAGUUCAGAAAGUCCAUUGCUACGGCCAGGAAGUUCCAGACCCCUCAAGCCUUCACGUGUGACUACGGGAUGAGUGCGGGGUAAGCAGACACUAGGCUGGACAACAGCCACCAGUGUCCUGAGGUCUGAGCUUUUGCCGCACAGUCACCUAGGGAGCGACGUCGGCCAGGAGUGCGGGAAGAAGUUUCCUGUGAAGGCAGUGGAGAAAGCUGAGAAAUGCCACACAGCGGAGAAGCCGUUUGUGAAAUGUGCACAAAAGAGGGAGACUCCGUCUCAAAAAAAUAAGGAUACACACACAGACAUAACGCACACACACUGGAUGUAAGCCCUACAGUUGUGAGCUGUGUGGAAAAUUAUUUAUUCGUGCCCCAGACUUAAAGCACUGUCAGAGAGUUCACAAUAACAAAAGAGUUUGCAUGCCAGGUGAGUGACAAAGCCUUCAAACCCAAGUCCCACCUCAAGAUCACGAAAGAGGACACAGAAGGGAAAUGCCUUGCGUGUGGCUCCUGCACUGAGGCAUUUAUUUGCCAAGGAGUCUGCUCCGUAAAGGCAUGAGAACCAUGUGCACAGUGAAAGGAUGCAGGUUACCCACAGUGCCAUCCAGCAGGGGACCCAGCUGCUGCAGGUGGCAUUGAUGGCGGAAGCAGAGCAGCAGCUGGAAACA
rnacentral:lncRNA from 1 species